rnacentral:rRNA from 1 species
UACGUAGGUGGCAAGCGUUGUCCGGAUUUAUUGGGUUUAAAGGGUGCGUAGGCGGCUUUGUAAGUCAGUGGUGAAAUAUGGCAGCUCAACUGUCAAGGUGCCAUUGAUACUGCGGAGCUUGAGUACAGAUGAGGUAGGCGGGAAUUGACGGUGUAGCGGUGAAAUGCUUAGAUAUCGUCAAGAACACCUAUAGCGAAGGCAGCUACUAGGCUGUAACUGACGCUGAGGCACGAAAGUGUGGGGAUCAAACAGG